rnacentral:rRNA from 1 species
UACGGAGGGAGCUAGCGUUAUUCGGAAUCACUGGGCGUAAAGGGUGCGUAGGCGGGUCUUUAAGUCAGAGGUGAAAUCCUGGAGCUCAACUCCAGAACUGCCUUUGAUACUGAAGAUCUUGAGUUCGGGAGAGGUGAGUGGAACUGCGAGUGUAGAGGUGAAAUUCGUAGAUAUUCGCAAGAACACCAGUGGCGAAGGCGGCUCACUGGCCCGAUACUGACGCUGAGGCACGAAAGCGUGGGGAGCAAACAGG